CAGAGGUAUGAAGCAGUCAUGUUUUCUUACUUCGUGUGUUUUUGUUGCCGGAAGGGGCCUUCUGAGUCAUCUAGCUCCAGUAGUUUAUCUGUGACCCAGGAAAAACUGGUGGACAAUAAGAACAAAAGGAAAAUGUUUAAAAUGGAGAUCGUGGGACCCCGCUCGCCGACCAGAAUUCCAAUCCAAUCGAGUGUAGUAGCUGACAUUGCGGAGCUAAAAAAAUGCAGCACCCCUUCCAAAUACAAGGUGCAUAUGCCAGGCAUAGUAGCAGAGGAAGAAAAUGGCACCUCAUCAUCCAUUCCUGGGGGUGAUAUCUCUCAGGGCACCGAUGUGGCCGAAGAGAAAAUCGGCAAACCGGCCCAUGAUGAUGACAACCACAGUAACAUCAAAGAGUAACCUUAUCCAUGCACCCAUCCACUCACCACCACCACCCACCCCAGCUUUCAAGGCAUUGGUCGUCGGUUGUUUUUACGCCACAUUAAUGUAAAAUUUUUCGAACUGUAGUCCCAAAUAUAUUUCUAUCGUUUGAA